GAAAGGCGGGCUNNUACCUCAUAACAUCUUAUAGACCUCGGUCUGUGAGAUCAAAGGUGGCCUCUGAUUUCAAGCUGCCACUUGGAGAUGAGUUCGCGGCCCAUUUGCUAGUUGGUAGGGUAAAAGCCUACCAAGGCGACGAUGGGUAGCUGGUCUGAGAGGGUGACCAGUCACACUGGAACUGAGACNCGGUCCAGACUCCUACGGGAGGCAGCAGUGAGGAAUAUUGCGCAAUGGGGGAAACCCUGACGCAGCAACGCCGUGUGAGUGAUGAAGGCCCUCGGGUCGUAAAGCUCUGUUAGGAGGGAAGAAUAGUUCGUGACGAAUAAUCACGAUCUUUGACGGUACCUCCAAAGGAAGCACCGGCCAACUCCGUGCCAGCAGCCGCGGUAAUACGGAGGGUGCAAGCGUUGUUCGGAAUUACUGGGCGUAAAGAGCGUGUAGGCGGCCAACCAAGUCAGAUGUGAAAUCCCUGGGCUCAACCCAGGAACUGCAUCUGAAACUGGCUGGCUAGAGUACGGGAGAGGAAGGUGGAAUUCCUGGUGUAGAGGUGAAAUUCGUA
rnacentral:rRNA from 1 species